AAUUUUGAAAACUUUCCUUCGUGGCUAAACUUCCUGCACAUGUCCUUCCGGUUGGAAUUUUGAAAGGUUCCACAAGAAAUCAUGAGGGCGAAGUGGAGGAAGAAGAGAAUGAGGAGGCUCAAGCGCAAGCGCAGAAAGAUGAGGGCAAGAUCAAAGUAGAGGGUGUGUCACAUUCCUCGGCAGAAUUCAGAUGUGAGAGAAGAGCUGUCAGGGUUUCCUUGCAAGCUGCAUGUGCUCAGUCAUUUCAGCAGACUCGCGGCCAUUGGGCUCCAUCCUGGGAAAUCACAGAUGUUGCAGCUCCCAGGAUAUCUGCUAAUGGCAUGGCAGUUUUCAUUUUGAAAUGCCCCAAUUUGAGGACUAAACUGAACAUCACGUACACAUCUUUUCCAGUUGGAUUUGAUCCUGAGCAUGUGUGUGUUGAGCAGUGGUGUGAACUUGCAAUUUACCUACAUUUGACUUCAUUUCUCUUUAAAUGUUUUCUGCUUUGUCCCCUCCACUUUUCAAUAAAGGAUGAGAAAAGUA